ACGGAAAGAGAGGGAUUCGAACCCUCGUUAGAACAUUCUAAACAGCAUUUCCAAUGCUAUGCUUUAAGCCACUCAGCCAUCUUCCCA
rnacentral:tRNA from 1 species